CCAGACUCCUACGGGAGGCAGCAGUGGGGAAUAUUGCACAAUGGGGGAAACCCUGAUGCAGCAACGCCGCGUGAGUGAGGAAGUAUUUCGGUAUGUAAAGCUCUAUCAGCAGGGAAUAGAAAAGAAGGUACCUGAAAAAGAAGCCCCGGCUAACUACGUGCCAGCAGCCGCGGUAAUACGUAGGGGGCAAGCGUUAUCCGGAUUUACUGGGUGUAAAGGGAGCGUAGACGGAAAGGCAAGUCAGCGGUAAAAUCGCGGGGCUCAACCUCGCUCCGCCGUUGAAACUGGCGUUCUUGAGUGGGCGAGAAGUAUGCGGAAUGCGUGGUGUAGCGGUGAAAUGCAUAGAUAUCACGCAGAACUCCGAUUGCGAAGGCAGCAUACCGGCGCCCAACUGACGCUGAAGCACGAAAGCGUGGGUAUCGAACAGGAUUAGAUACCCUAGUA
rnacentral:rRNA from 1 species